UUCCUGCUCCUGCCAGGGGCUUCAAACAGCAAAUAAAUAUAGAUGCACACAGCCCCAUUCCUCCUGGCUGCUUGGUGCAGUGUGCCAGCCCCGGCUGUGCCUUUGGGCACUGUGUUCUGCUGGCUGAGGCUGGCCACAGUGCCUGCUGGAGCCAUUGACAUGGCCAGAACCCCGAGGGCAGCCAGCUCCUGGGGAGGGCGGCCUCGGUGUCCGGCCCCUUUACUCCAGCGGGCUGCAGCCCCAGUGACUGAUUUUUCAUAAAGUGUGUUCUGUGCUGACUCUGUGCUGCCCUGCAGUGUCCCUCGCUGUGGCACCGCUUGGCCUGCCCCAGGCUACUCUGCAGAUUGCCAGGGAGGAACAUACGUGCCUUACCUGGGAGGCCCGGGGAGGGGGGAGGAGCCCUGCCAUCUCAUCUCCCACCCCAGCUGACUUCACCAGCACCUCAGAUUUCAAGUAUCCAGGGACUCGGUGGUUAUGCUGUGACUUCCAUGUGAUAAACGCAGGGCUCCGUGACCCACUACACGGGCUUUGAAGAGUGAAUGCCGCUUAAGGGUGGAGACUUUGCAGACCAGAGUGUGUUGUUGCAUGACCAUAUUUAGGCACGGCAGUGAGCACUUCAUUCUGUUUUUGGUUUGCUUUGGUUUUUAGUGCCAAGGGUUGAACCCAGGGCCUUGCACAUGCAAAACACACUCUCGACCACUGAGCUAUGCCCCCAGCCCUACACACUGUUUAACCAUAAAAAGAAUUCAUACUUGUUGAGAAUUUGGAAAUGAGAUCAGAACUGAUGGAAGAGGAAAGUAGAAAUCCCCAGGAUCCACUCAUUCUCCAGAGAAGCAACUCAGAACAGUUGGGGCCGUGUCUUUCCAGAAUAUUCUUUGUGAUUGAUCAUUUGCAUCUUGCAAUAAUUCUACGAGGUGGGCAGAUCAGAUUGCAGAGUGGCCAGUUUACAGGUAAGCCAAGAGGCUCAAGGAAGUCAAACUCCCUGCCCAGGGCCAGCAGCCAGCCAGGUGCAGACUGGGAGGAGCAAUCAGGACAUGCCAGGCCAUGCCUACUACUCCUGCCCCUGGGAUUAGCUGCCCCAAUGAGUGGCCCAGGAUUUCUUUUCCCCAAGCUGAUCACCUCAUUGCACAAGCAGAAAACUAGGAGGCCUCCUUUCAGGUAGUAAACAAAGCAAUAUUGGCACAGAGUGACCAGAUCAGAGAGGACUUUGCUCUCUGGUAAGGAGGUCUGGAGCCUGCAGUCUUCUCAGAGGCAGAAUCUGGGGAUCUAGGAGCCAGGGGCUGGGGGACAGCAGGCUCAGCCCUGCCAGUCCCAAUAACAGCAGAACUAGCAGUUCCCACUCCCUCAGCUGAGCUCUGGGCUUUGGUGACUGGAGGGCAACGUAUUCAGAGCUGCCAAUCACAGAGCAAGAUGAAGUCCCACUCUCCUACUGUAGAGGUUGCGUGUGCAGUUUCUGUGCUAAGUAAUGAACCCAGGUCCUCGUAGCAAGUGCCAUACCCUGAGCAAAUCCCCAGCCAAAAUGAACAAUUUUUGCCUUUUGCUGGGUGUGAUGGGGCAUGCCUUUAAUUCCAGAGACUCAGGAGACUGAAGCAGGAGGAUUGCAAGUUUGAAGUCAGCGUGGUCAACUUCAUGAGAUGCUGUCUCAAAAUAAAAAGGGCUAGGGGUGUGGCUCAGUGCUGGAGGGCCCCUGGGUUGAAUCCCCAGCACCCCUCCAAACACACACAUGACCCUUAAGAGAAUGAGAGGACAGCAGAAAAUACAAGUCACAUAUUUCACACACGGAAACCCUUGUAUCCAUAAUAUAUAAAGACUUCUCAAAAUUUGACAGUAAGGAACAACCUAAUUUUAAAAAUGGGCAAAAGACUUGAACAGAUACUUCAGCAAAGAAGACACACAGAUGGCAAAUAAGCACAUAAAAAUAUAUUCAACAUCAUUAGCCACUAAGGAAAUGCAAAUUAAAACUGUGAUAAGAUAUCACUAUAUGCCCAUUGUAAUGACUCUAAAAAGACCCACAGCAGCAGGCCCCAGCGGAGAUGUGAAUCUCCCAGAACCCAGAGGCUUGGUUGUGGGGGAUGCGAAAUGGUUAACUCAGGCUGGGUGAAGCUCAGUGGUAGAGCUCUUGCCCAGCAUGUGCGUCCAAUCCUUGAGACCUGGGAGAAAAAGAAAAGGGGUGGGGUGGGUAAAGGCAUCUGGAAGAUGGUUUCUACAUUUCUUAUAGAGUUCAACACACCAUAGGACCUAGCGGGCUCAGCCCCAGCUGCCCCUGGACAGGGAUCCUCAGCCUGAGCACCACUGAUACUUCGGGCCAGAUCCUUGAUCGCUGUGGGGCUGUCCUCGGGGUCUAAGGUGUUGAGCUGCCUCCCUGACCUCAACCCACUAGAGCCAGCAGCACCCCCACCUUGUGACUGUCAAAAAUACUUUGAGGGCUUGCCAGCUGCUUCCGGGGGGGCCAACUGCCUCCUAUUGAGAACAUUGCCCUGGAAAAAUGAAAACUUUGGUUCUCACAAAAGCCUUUGCACAAAUAUCUAGAGCAGCUCUAUUCACAGUCACCCAAACCUGGGAAAAACCCAAUGUCCUUCAGUGAAUGAACGAUACACAAACCCUGGCAGGCCCAGACAGCGGACAGCACGCAGUAACAGAGCAAUGAACUUCGGAUACGCAGACGCUGGGACGACCCUUACAGGCGGGAUUCCCGGGGGGGAAGCUGUCAAAAGGUUAGAUGCUGUGUAAUUUUGUUUCUGUGACAUUCUCAAGCAAACAAACAAACAAAUAAAAACUACAGUAACAACA